rnacentral:lncRNA from 1 species
AGUGAAACUCCCUACAGCCCAGGGGCUGCUGGCACGACUCCUGGUAGUAGCCUCAUCCCCUUAUGCAGGAGAAGGACACGGAUGUGCUGCCUUGCAAUUACUAAAGGCCCUGCACCAAAAUAUCCAUGCAGCAGUGGGUGAGAUGUGGGUAGUAAAGAUCCCAUCUCUGCUGCAGUACAUUGAAGGAAACACAGAGAAUUCCCUGGACCAUGCACGGUGGGAGCACAUGCUACUUCAGGUACAAGACGCCUUUCAGCUGUAUUGUCACAGCCCUCCCUCCCCUCUCCAAAUGUAUCAGCUGGGGAAAAUAUUAAUGAUAAACUUUUCAUUAUAAGCAGGGCUGGUCAAACCAUUUCAUUUUGUUCAGUGAAAACUGGCCUUUUUUAUUUUCAUGGGACAUUUUCAAUUUUUUUUUUUACACAAAACAAAACAAAACAAAACAACCACAACCCAAAUGGAAAAUGUUCAGUUUUUUGAAACUGAAGUAGAUUUUUUUUUCAUUUGCUUUCACGCUGAGG